UUCCUUGUGUGACGAGUGGGAGAGGGGUGUGUAGUGUGGGGGGAUGUGCCCGAGAGGGGGGGAUAACCUGUGGAAAGGGGGGCUAAUACCGCAUAACCUCACGAGACCAAAGGGGGGGACCUUGGGGCCUCUCUCUAUCAGAAGAACCCAUGGGGGAUUAUCUAGUGCGGGGGGUAGUGGCCCCCCUGCGACACUAUCCCUAUGGGGUCAGAGAAGAAGACCACCCACUGUGGAUGUGACACACGGUCCACACUCCUACGGGGGGCAGCUGUGGGGAAUAGUGCACAGUGGGCGCACGCGUGAUGCACCCGUGCCGCGUGUAUGAAAAGCGUCUUCGGGUUGUAAAGUAUUUUCCGCGGAGAAGAGGGCGGCGCGGUUAAUAACCGCGCCUAGUGACUUUACCCGCAAAAAAAACCCCGGCUAUCUCCGUGCCAACCCCCGCGGAUAUAGAGAGGGUGCACGCGUUACUCAGUUAUAGUGCGCAUAGAGCACACGCGCGCGGUGUGAUAUCUCAUAUGAAACUCCCGGGUCAUACUGUGAACACUGCUUGUGAAUGUGGCGCGUUAGACUCGUGUAGAGGGGGGUAGAUCUAGGUGUGUAGCGGUGAAGUGCAUAGAUAUCUGGGAAUAUA
rnacentral:rRNA from 1 species